rnacentral:lncRNA from 1 species
UACAACAAAGAAGUGGCGAGACAGAUUACGCUAUACUACUUACAAUCUUCAAAUAUAGAAUGUCAAAAGAAAAUAAGAAACUCAUGUUGAGUAGAAGAAGCAGAAGUAUAGACUAACAAAGUUACUAGCCACAAAGUUUCAAUUCGUUUCUAAGAAGGAAAGGCGAUCCGCGAAAGACGAAGAGGCGAGAUUGGUGACAACGCUGGCUCGAAAAUGCAAAUACGAUGGAAAAGAGGGAAGGGCGACUUGCCAACUUGCUCAAAGUCGCCAAGAAACAAUGACAACAAUAUUCAAAGCCACAAAUGGCGUGCAUCAAGAUAUUCAAAAGUCAUAGAAGGGCGUACAAAUUAUCUAAGAAAUAUAAACAACAAAAGGAAGGACAAGGCGACAAGCAAACAGAGAGUAUGAGUCAGCAACAAAUAGGCGACAUAGAACCACGCCGAGACAUAAUAAUCGCCAAGUUACUUCAUUCAAAAGCACUUCGCCUUCUUGAAGCCUCGUGCUUGGGGGGCUGUGUACCGGGCCAUGGA